AGGGGUCUCUAUAUAGACUCUAAAUUUUUGCUUCUUAAUUUGCUUGAUUUAUUUCAUUUAUGACUCGCGUUCUUCUACAUGAAUCUUUGUGUGUUUCCUUUGGCCUGGGAUUUUGCUCUUUUGCUAGCAUGUUCCUUGAUUUCUGCUGCUGUUGUGGAACACACUUUCAAUGUGGCGGACAUUACUGUGCAGCGUUUGUGUCGUCAACAACUAAUCACUGCCGCCAAUAGAACCCUGCCAGGACCAACAAUUAACGCUCGAGAAGGUGAUACUGUUGUCGUUCGCGUAUUCAACAAGUCACCCUACAAUCUUACUAUUCAUUGGCACGGAAUUCUUCAAUUUUUAACUCUGUGGUCACACUUACUACAAUAAUGACCAUUUUACGACACACAAACUACGACGGUUAAAAAAAAAACAUCGUUGAAAGAUACACGGUAACAGUGUAGUAAUUUUAAAGAAUGUAUACAAUGAUGGUUAUUGAAUAACCAUUUUUAAUAGCGAGUUUAAGGAGUACAACGACAGGUUGACAAAGACCGUCGUAGUUGUAUUGGUAGUACAAAGAUAGUUUUUUCCUUUUGACUGUCUUUGAAUAAGCUUACUUAUUAUUCCCAAAAUCACUAAUAAUUAAGUAGCUUCCUCUCCGUUGCGCUCGCGUAACCUUCUUCUGUUCAUUGUUGUCCAACUUCUGGAUUCCCUCGACUGUUUGAAUUCAAUGACUCCCUCAAAACCACCCGCACUCUCUGACUCAAGCUUUGACUAGGCCCUUUGUCUCUUGAAUCUCUGCGAAGUAACGCCAAAGCAGUUCAUCUGUGAAGUCUCCGUCAAAGGUGUCUAUGUAGGUAAGAACCCCUGUCCGUCAAGUUUUUGUUUUCCUUCGAUGUGGUUGAAUCUAGUUUGUUCUUAGUCGAAAGGGUGUCUAUUUGUUGUUUUCUGGAACCGAGUGAAGAGAUCGAGUUAAGCUUAAUGGGAAUGUGAGAUAUCUUCGUUUCGUUAAGGUAGCACCUGGUUUGUAGCAAGUCCACUUCGGUGAAUCUAAUUAACAAAAAUAUAUACCCCAAGCAACGAUAAAAAACAUGUCCCUUCGGGGACAUCCGAGGAAAUUGAAAGCAUGGCCCUUGCGCAAGGAUGACACGCUUUUAUCAAGAAAUGGUCCAAUUUAUUUUUCCCCAUGUUCCUUCUUUCAAUAUUUUCAGGCAUGGGUCAGGUUAAGAUUCAUAGGCUCAAAUUGAAAGCCUUCUUUGUCUAACAACAAUUAAAGAUACACAAUAAAUCCUUUUCUGCAGCAAAAUGUAGAAUGCGAAAACAUAAAAUUUUAUACUUGUUAUAGGCAUACGAGUAAGCAUGAAAAGAGGGACAUGCCCUUUAGGCUUGGUUUACAGCCUUCUAUUAGAAUCGAAGCUUUGGUUUUAUUGAACAUGUUUUGUAGGAUUUUCUCUGCAAAGGUAGCUGAGUUAUCUCUAUAGUAAGUGUUCACUUUGAAAACAUAUUUAUUCAUUUAUGUGCCUCUUCUUUUGUCCAUUUCAUGUAAAUAGUAAUGGUAAAAGAAAAAAAAAAGAAAAAUCUCAUCACCCAUUAAUUAAA